rnacentral:rRNA from 1 species
UACGAAGGGGGCGAGCGUUGUUCGGAUUUACUGGGCGUAAAGGGCGCGCAGGCGGUCAUUUUUGUCGAGUGUGAAAGCCCCGGGCUUAACCUGGGAACUGCGCUCGAAACGGGAUGACUAGAGAUCGGGAGAGGAGAGUGGAAUUCCCAGUGUAGAGGUGAAAUUCGUAGAUAUUAGGAAGAACACCAGUGGCGAAGGCGGCUCACUGGUCCGGUACUGACGCUGAGGUGCGAAAGCGUGGGGAGCAAACAGG